rnacentral:ncRNA from 1 species
GGGAGGAAGUGGUGUAGCAAAGUCGACGAGCCUACGAACAGAAACCAGAUAUGAGGCUAAAUGACGGGCAAGGUUGCAUAACAAACCAAAGCCCAAAAGGUAAACGUAACGUCAAGACAGUAAAUCUGGAGGUUGUGCGACGAAAGAAUU